rnacentral:rRNA from 1 species
GAUCAUGGCUCAGGAUGAACGCUAGCUACAGGCUUAACACAUGCAAGUCGAGGGGAAAUGACAUCGAAAGCUUGCUUUUGAUGGGCGUCGACCGGCGCACGGGUGAGUAACGCGUAUCCAACCUGCCCAUCACUUGGGAAUAACCUUGCGAAAGUAAGACUAAUGCCCAAUGAUAUCCCACGAAGGCAUCCGAAUGGGAUUAAAAGAUUUAUCGGUGAUGGAUGGGGAUGCGU